rnacentral:misc_RNA from 1 species
UCACCCCUCAAGCUCCGGCUUGGUGUUGGGCUUCGAGAUAGCUAUAUCGCGGGCUUCAAAGAUAGUGACGGCGUCCCAGAUGGAACCGGUACGAGGAGCUUUUAACCAAGCAUGUACGCGGCGUGAAUCUGUGGGCGGCGGUCUUUAACCACUACUCUUCGGAGUAUUUUCUUAAG